rnacentral:rRNA from 1 species
UACGUAGGGUGCGAGCGUUAAUCGGAAUUACUGGGCGUAAAGCGUGCGCAGGCGGCUUUGCAAGACAGAUGUGAAAUCCCCGGGCUCAACCUGGGAACUGCAUUUGUGACUGCAAGGCUAGAGUACGGCAGAGGAGACUGGAAUUCCUGGUGUAGCAGUGAAAUGCGUAGAUAUCAGGAGGAAUACCGAUGGCGAAGGCAGGUCUCUGGGCUGACACUGACGCUCAUGCACGAAAGCGUGGGGAGCAAACAGG